GGUCGUCUCGGCAGCCCCGCUGCAUUCGCUGGCGACUUCAGUCGCUAUGAGGUCGCUACGGGCACCGCUGCAGCCACCGCUGCUCGUCACGAUGUUUUUAUUGAUGACGCUCCUCGUGUUGCUGACGAGUUUUUCGGUCAAGGCCGACGAGGGUGACGGUGGCGACGGAAGUGAGGCUACAGCUGAGACGGAGGUUUCUGCCGCCCCGGUGACAGACGAGCCGCGCGCUUUCGCCUUUAGGAAGGCGAUCUGUGGAAAGACUGCCGAGGACACCGACAUCCUGUGCGCCGUCGUCAGGAUAGUCAACGAUGCCGCCAGAAGAAGAGAGACGACGGAUGACCCAGAGGACGGUCCGACGAAUCAAACGGAGGCUAUUUAGAAAGUGGUUGCUGCCAGAGCGGUGCAAAUGUGCUUCGGUCCAGUGCUUACUGUUCUCUCGCUGGUGCUCCUGGCACACCGGCCUUGCGAUGGCGGUGUCGUUGUCUAUAAGGUCAGCAGCUUCGUGAAGACGUCCGCGCCUGUCCGGCGAGCAACGUCCACAACGCUGCCUCCGGGAUCACAGCGCGUUUCCUCAGCAGCCAAUCACAGCCACCUCCGCAAUGCACUUACGCACCAACAGCAGCAACAACAGUCCUCUGGCGGCAAGUUUUUCGUGAUGUCAGUGACGGACGAUGUAACCACGGCUGGGUCGGAUACUCCGCACGUGAAAACAUUCAUCUUCCCUAACCUGGCCAAGUGCAAACCCGGCUUCAGAAGGGGGCAUAACGGGAAAUGCUACAGAAUUGUGUGAACGGGCGAUCUGCACCCGCUCUAGGAAUCUAGACAUCUUGUACAUACUUAUCACUCAUUUGUUUGUCGCCAUUUCAUAAAAUAAAAUGCUGAAAAUACUCCAUUCUUUCUGGAA